rnacentral:rRNA from 1 species
GAAUGGCUCAUUAUAUAAGUUAUCGUUUAUUUGAUAGCACUUUACUACUUGGAUAACCGUGGUAAUUCUAGAGCUAAUACAUGCUAAAAAUCCCGACUUCGGAAGGGAUGUAUUUAUUAGAUUAAAAGCCAAUGCCCUCUGGGCUCUCUGGUGAAUCAUGAUAACUGCUCGAAUCGCAGGGCCUCGUGCCGGCGAUGGUUCAUUCAAAUUUCUUCCCUAUCAACUUUCGAUGUUUGGGUAUUGGCCAAACAUGGUUACAACGGGUAACGGAGGGUUAGGGCUCGACCCCGGAGAAGGAGCCUGAGAAACGGCUACUACAUCCAAGGAAGGCAGCAGGCGCGCAAAUUACCCAAUCCCGACACGGGGAGGUAGUGACAAUAAAUACUGAUACAGGGCUCUUUCGGGUCUUGUAAUUGGAAUGAGUACAAUUUAAAUCCCUUAACAAGGAACAAUUGGAGGGCAAGUCUGGUGCCAGCAGCCGCGGUAAUUCCAGCUCCAAUAGCGUAUAUUAAAGUUGUUGUGGUUAAAAAGCUCGUAGUUGACCCUUGGGCCUGGCUGGCCGGUCCGCCUCACCGCGUGUACUGGUCCGGCCGGGCCUUUCCCUCUGUGGAACCCCAUGCCCUUCACUGGGCGUGGCGGGGAAACAGGACUUUUACUUUGAAAAAAUUAGAGUGCUCCAGGCAGGCCUAUGCUCGAAUACAUUAGCAUGGAAUAAUAGAAUAGGACGUGCGGUUCUAUUUUGUUGGUUUCUAGGACCGCCGUAAUGAUUAAUAGGGACA